UUUCAGGUGCAUUGGAUUAGGAACUGGCUUGUCAUGGUGGCCCUCAAGCGUUCAGGAAGAGCUCAAUGAUAGAAGAAAGAAUUGGACUCCUGCUUUUAAAUGAAAAUAUGUGUAUACACCAGCCAAUAUGGACCCACUUCUGUCGCGUAAGGGCUCAAUGAAUACGAUUUCUCUUCUCCUCUCCCUGUCAGAUUUCUCUUGGCCUUGACUCCCUGUCCCUGGAGAUGAGAAUAUUUCUUCCUUUGGUACAGAGAG